rnacentral:rRNA from 1 species
CCUACGGGAGGCAGCAGUGAGGAAUAUUGGUCAAUGGGCGAGAGCCUGAACCAGCCAAGUCGCGUGAAGGAUGACGGCCCUACGGGUUGUAAACUUCUUUUGUCAGGGAGCAAUUUGGUCCACGCGUGGUCUUAGCUAGAGUACCUUAGAAAAAGGCAUCGGCUAACUCCGUGCCAGCAGCCGCGGUAAUACGGAGGAUGCGAGCUUUAUCCGAAUUUAUUGGGUUUAAGGGGUGCGUGGGAGGAAUAUCAAGUCAGCGGUAAAAAUUCGGGGCUCAACCCCGUAGUGCCGUUGAAACUGGUGGUCUUGAGUGGGCGUGAGGUAGGCGGAAUGCGUGGUGUAGCGGUGAAAUGCAUAGAUAUCACGCAGAACUCCGAUUGCGAAGGCAGCAUACCGGCGCCCAACUGACGCUGAAGCACGAAAGCGUGGGUAUCGAACAGGAUUAGAUACCCGAGUAGUC